rnacentral:rRNA from 1 species
CAGCAGUCGCCACGGGAAUACGAGGGGGGCAAGCGUUGUUCGGAAUUAUUGGGCGUAAAGGGUGCGUAGGCGGUUUCUUAAGUCUGAUGUGAAAGCCCCCGGCUCAACCGGGGAGGGUCAUUGGAAACUGGGAAACUUGAGUGCAGAAGAGGAGAGUGGACUUCCACGUGUAGCGGUGAAAUGCGUAGAGAUGUGGAGGAACACCAGUGGCGAAGGCGACUCUCUGGUCUGUAACUGACGCUGAGGAGCGAAAGCGUGGGGAGCGAACAGGAUUAGAUACCCGUGUAGUCCCUGUCUCUUAUAC